AUUGAACGCUGGCGGCAGGCUUAACACAUGCAAGUCGAGCGGGGGAAGGUAGCUUGUUACCGGACCUAGCGGCGGACGCGUGAGUAAUGCUUAGACAUCUGCCUAUUCGUGGGGGACAACAUCUCGAAAGGGAUGCUAAUACCGCAUACGUCCUACGGGAGAAAGCAGGGGAUCUUCGGACCUUGCGCUAAUAGAUGAGACUAGUCGGAUUAGCUAGUUGGUGGGGUAAAGGACUACCAAGGCGACGAUCUGUAGCGGGUCAGAGGGGAUGAUCCGCCACACUGGGCUGGAGACACGGUCCACACACCUACGGAAGGCAGCAGUGGGGAAUAGUGGACAAUGGGAGGAAGCCUGAUCCAGCAAAGCCGCGUGUGUGAAGAAGGCCUUUUGGUUGUAAAGCACAUUAAGCGAGGAGGAGGCUACUAGUAUUAAUACUACUAGAUAGUGGACGUUACUCGCAGAAUAAGCACCGGCUAACUCUGUGCCAGCCGCCGCGGUAA
rnacentral:rRNA from 1 species